rnacentral:pre_miRNA from 1 species
GUCGUGGCCGUGGCCCGGAAGUGGUCGGGGCCGCGGCAGACGGAAGGGCGCCUCUGCUUCGUCCGCUCGGCGGCGGCCCAACCAGGCCCGUGGGA